GUCUCCCGAAUUCGCAUCUAGUCUAUGCCGAGCCGAACGUAGCUCCACCCCGUAGUCACUGCCUUGAUAUAGCAUCUUUCAAGAUCCUUGGGUGAGAUCCUGAUUCCUCUGCUGCUGCUCUAGUCACCGAGUACAAGAAAACAUUGCUAACAUCCUGGCUGCAGUGAAUUUUUUUCCAACCCAAAAAGAUUUAAAAAAAAAAAAAAAGUGAAUGGUUCACACUAUUUAAAACACAUCAAGACAUGUUUGGCCAGGCACUUCCAACUUAACACGAAAUAAAAAGAAAGAAAAUUUUAAAAGAAAAAAAUAUCUAUAAGGGGAGAACUGUGAAACACUGGAAAUUCUAUUCAUAUUAGGAUGCCCCCCCACCCGUUUGCCCUUUGGAAAGGGGUCCUGUCACUUAGAAAGAGCUGUUUCUUCACCGCCCCCCCUCACCCACCCACCAGCCGGCCCUGCUCGGCCUUGCAGCCCUGGCCCACCCCGCAGCCCUCCCAGCGACGCACACACAGUUUCUUCCAAGUGCUGGAGAGAUGGGAGGUGCAGUUUCUCCUCCGCUGAGCCAGACGAGAACUUCUCACCCGGGCCCAGCCCUCGACCCGCUGAGGGCCCGGCAGUUCUUUUUAUGUCAAGAAGCCACCAGGCACCCAGGCUGCCCGCCCCUCCCGGUUGCGGGACAGCGACGCCGCGCUAGCUCGCCCGUCACGUGGCUGCGCUCGGAGCCCCCACAGGGCCCUUUGUUAAGCACCUCCGUUCCCUUGCAGGGGCUGGGGCCGAGCGGCGAGACCCAGAGAGAUGAACCAACUGGACAAUCCUGCGACCCUGGUUUUGCUUCGGCUCGUAGGAAGGCCCUGAAACACCUUGGGUGGGUGCCCCGAAGCACUUAACAAAUCAAGAUUCCCAGCCCUUUAGGGGAUGCUACUUGGGCCACCUCCAAAGUUUCGAACCAAAGGCACAAAGGGGCUAGGGGCCCAGUGGAGGGUGAGCCUCUUCAUAACCAUUGGGCCAACUUCCCUCCGUUCCAUCCACCCCCAGUUCUCCCACUGCAGUCGUGUACAAGGCUCAACGACUCAGUGGGUGGGAGUGUGUGUGUGUGUAAAGUGUGUGGUGUGUGCGUGUGUGUGUGCAACCAGGUGGAAAUUUCAAAGGAUAUGUCCGACACUUGCAGAGGAUGGGCCGUGAGCAAAUGGACAGUCGGAGAGUUUAAGUGACUUAUGUAGGAGGAAAGAGAGGGUCAGGUUUGCUUUAAGUGGAACAUCUGCAAAACAUUCUAGAGCUUAGUCAACACAAAAGUCUAGCCAUUUACUAUAGAAAUAAUAAUAAAAAAAGCCACUAAUGAUUACGGUUCCCACCCCUUCCCCCAAAAGGCCAAAUCCUAAUGAAAUAAUUCAAAGGUAGGCCCCAUUUCCUAAUAGUGGAAUUAAACAACAACAAAAAGGACCCAACUAAACUUUCCAACCCUGCCUUCCUAAGGGCCUGGGAACCUUGCUGAGAAACUAGAUAAACAGAAGAUGAACGGGCUUCUUUUGCGCUGAGGCCAUGGAGCUGGCUUUACAUAUAGUUCUGCCUGGACACGCAAUUAAAUUAUAGUAAAUUCCUCUUUAAACAGUAAAAUAUGGAAUGUUCUUCAGAACUCAAAUAUGUCUAGGGUUAAGUAGUUUUAAAGAUAGGUUUGAGAUGGCUUGUGUGGAGAAGCAACCUUUAGACUCUAAAACUAUUAUAAAUGUGCGAAUUACCUGGGUGUCAGUUUAUCUCUCCAUAUUUCUUUCUAAAAUGAGGAAAGCAUUCAUAAACAGCUACUUGGCACACUUUAUUUUUGGAAAGCAGAUGUUAAUUUUUUCACGUAUCAUUUUAUGACCAAAUACAUGUGUAACGUUGGAAGGCAUCCAGAACGCCUCUAUUAUUUGCUAAAUGACUGUUAGUUGAAACAUAUUAUUCUCGGCCUAACUACGAUAUAGGUUAUAUCAAUAAAGUAAACAUCUGUGUUUUUUUUUUUUUUUUUUAAAUUCGAGGAGGGGCAUAAAGAGUUAGUAUAAACGACAGACGAAAGAGGAAAAAAGGAGUUUGGGAAAGAAGACGCACCUGUGCUGUAGAAAAUGGGAUAUUUAUAUUGUUCUGUGCAAAACAAAGUCCCCCAAUCGGGCACUCGGGGAUAUUUACAUGGCGGGAGAUAAAGUUGAAAGCCUUUCCUGGCGUGCCAAAUGGGAUUCUCCCUGAGGCCUUCUGCGUGGCAAGAUAACAGGUACUGAGCGCUCCUGGCGGCGGGGGCCUUCUCCUGCCUCCCCGCCCUCCCCCUCCUCUUCCCCCCUCCAGCUCCCUCCCCAGGCCGGCGGGGCUCGGAAUUCCCAGGCACCUCGGAAAUUUCAGCGGGGUUCCCAGCCGAGAAGUACGCUCCGGAAGCGUCCUCAUUUGCCCUGCUUCGCUCGAGGACGCCGGCGCCUAGGAUAAGCCAGUGGCGAGAUAAUUAAUGGAAUACAAUAUUUAUGGGCCAAUGUAUUGACUCCGAGGCAAGUACGCCGUGUAGACAGCCCGUGGGGGUCUGGCAAACAGGGGGCGAGUGAGCAAACAUAAUGACCGGAGUACUUACGUCUAUCGGGUUUGCUCACUUAAACCCGAGGUAUGUAACAUCAUGAUAAAUAUUAAUAUACACCUCCACAGCCCCUCAGCACCGCCAUCCUAAACUCUCCCUUCCUGAGUGCUGCCCUUUACAAAAAGGCCAGAGAGGAGGGCUUUAACAUAAAAUGCUGCAAAUAUGAAAAAUAGGUCACCAAUAAAAUUGGUCUCAGCAUGGAGUGUAAUUGCAACAAAGUGCCGCCGAGUAAAAUCGAGGAGUGAGCUGGCUGAGGCGGCACAGUCGCGAACCAUCUGGUGUGUAUUAAAAGCGGUGCUGUAAAUAUUGCUGAGAGCUAAUGCAUUAUCGGCUUCUAUAAGUGCACAGGGCCUGUAAGCUUCCCAUGUGUUAGAACAUGCAGACCGGGUGGGAGCAAGGAAAGGUGUUCUAUCGAUCACCAGCUUCGGAAACAGCGGGUUUUCCCACUUUUGGUGAAAUUUUGGCCAGAACGCGUCAAAUGUACAUCUCCAUUAUCUGCCCCUCCCAGCACCCCUUCCUCCUGCCGCAGCUCCUUUCUCAUUUUUUCUAGCUUCUCUCCUGCUCCCAUCUUCCAACCCCUCCUCCUCUCUCCCUACUCUCCAAGGGGAUAGGGCAGCCAUUGUUGACGUCACUUCACAUCAGUAAAAGAGAGUAACUGUUUCAGAGAGAGAGAGAGAGAGAGAAAGAGAGAGAGAGAGAGAGAGAGAGAGAGAGAGAGAGAGAGAGAGAUCAUGUGUUUUUCAUCAGUGUUAAAUUAUUGCCUUUUUUCAGAGAAAUGAGCCGCCCAGCAUGGGUACUCCUGCUCUGAAGCCAGUAACUGUCACCACUCCCUUUUGUGGGGUGGUCCACAAGGUGGGGAGCAGAGUAAGUCCUGUGCAGGGGUCUAGUGGCAGAAUCAGCUCUUUCGGAUGAAACCAGGGGAAAUGAGAUUCAAAGAACAAGACUUCUAGGGACGACUUCUCACCACGAUGUCCAAGCAACCUCUACAGGCCAAAUGGAGGGCUUCUGGCUACAAGGCAGUUUUGAUUUGCACCCCGGAACUUCCUUUCUCUAGGUCGUCCCUCCAUAAUCCCACCCCCCACGUACUGAAUUGCCACACACAGCACAGCUAUUAAUUUCUCCGUCACAUUACUUUUCUGGGGAAAACAGUUCAAGUCUUCUCUUUCCUGAUGAUACCCCGUAUUUAAGCGUUUACUAUAAUUACACUCUCAUCUCUUCUGAGCUCCCCCCACCCCAUAUUACUCAGCUACAAGUUGGGUUUUUUUUUUUUCUUUUCCCUCAAAUCCACUGGUAGGAACUGCCUCUAUGUUGUUCCACAGAGAUCACUUUCUCCCGGUUGGCCUGGUCUCUCUCAUUAUUCUUAUCUCUUGCCACCCACCCCUUCCCCUCCUUCUUCCUUCUCCCCUCUCACCUGUACACUCAGAACAAACCUGAGACUUCAGUGUGGGUAAACCUGCCGGCCGUGACAAUCCAGGCUCAAUCAGCAAAUAUAUAAAAUUCUUAC